ACUCCAUACUUAUCUAUUUCAUUCUACUAUUCUAAAGAUAUUUCUAGAGCGCAUUUCUAGAACAUGGGCCAAAUGGGCUCACAUUCUAGAAAAUAGGCUAAUUUGGCUCUUUAUUUUUCAUAAUUUCUUAAGCCCAAAUAAUUAUUACUAAAUCAAGUUUAUUUUAAUUUUAUUUUCAACACCCCCCCUUAAACUUGAUUUGUCAUUCCAAGCAAACUUCU
rnacentral:lncRNA from 1 species